UUUCCCAUUUGACUACCACAUUUUCUCCUAAUAAUAGAUUUUAGUGGCUAUGCUUAUGGGAUAGAUUAAAUUUGCCAUGAUCUGAAGAGGGAGGGUUUUUUUCAUGUCCUCCUCCUAUAUGAAAUGGCUGAACAGAUCUUA
rnacentral:snoRNA from 1 species